rnacentral:ncRNA from 2 species
UGCUAUAGAUGAGAUGUCUGGUGCUUUGCGACUAAAACUUGAGAAGCUUAAAAGGGAAUCCGGUGCGAAAUAAUAACUUUUAUUCCGGAGCUGCCUCCGCAACUGUAAACGGCGAAUGUUUCAUUCAAUAUGCCACUGAAGCAAUCUGCUUUGGGAAGGUCGAAUGAAAUGUAAUGACCCGUAAGUCAGGAGACCUGCCGACAAACUAAUAACAAA